rnacentral:misc_RNA from 1 species
GAUGAAGAACGCAGCGAAAUGCGAUAAGUAAUGUGAAUUGCAGAAUUCAGUGAAUCAUCGAGUCUUUGAACGCACAUUGCGCCCCCUGGUAUUCCGGGGGGCAUUCCUGUCCGAGCGUCAUUGCUGCCCUCAAGCACGGCUUGUGUGUUGGGCCCCCGUCCCCGGUUUCCCCCGGGGACGGGCCCGAAAGGCAGCGGCGGCACCGCGUCCGGUCCUCGAGCGUAUGGGGCUUUGUCACCCGCUCUGUAGGCCCGGCCGGCGCCAGCCGACACCCAACUUUAUUUCUAAGGUUGACCUCGGAUCAGGUAGGGAUACCCGCUGAACUUAAGCAUAUCAAUAAGCGGAGGA